CUGCAAUAUCCCCACAAGGGCCUGACUGAGCGAGCGAGCAUGGACGGCCGCGGGGCUUUCUGGACAGUGGCCAUUCCCAGAGCCAGGCAGGAAGGCCUCGGGAGGCUGGGGCUCCCGUUCCCGGUGAAGCGGACGCCGCCAGCGCCCCAGAACCCAGGAGGAAGCACACAGGCCCCACAGAGAGUGGUUGGCAAGAGUCACUCGGGGAUUAGGAUGCCGGCCAAAUCGCGGAAUUUGAGGCUGGAAUCCAAGCUCAACAGGAAAGUAGUGAAAUACAAAUGGGGAAAACAGGGCUCUGGAGCGGGGAGGGAGCUGGUGCCGGCAUUUCCCACCAACGCCGGUUUAGGAAGACGGGACCGAUGCCGGCCGCCCCCUGCUGGAGGGGAUGUGGCAUCUCACGGGCUGCCAGGGAGCGGGGUUGGCUACUCCUGCAACCAGCGUGAAGAGGGUCUCAGGGGAGGCUGUGGUGGGAUCCCCCACGUGCCCUUGUUCCUCUCACCGUUACCUCUGGAUGCCUCGGGGCAAAGGCCUUCUUCCACCUAUAGACAGAGUCUACGCAGGGGUCUUGGAACCCGGGCACACCAGUCCCCAGCUAACGAAAUCCCCGAGUUGGGGGAUUUGAGAGGGUCACGUUUGGCCCAAGAACCCGCAGUCCUCUUUGGUCUUCGGCCCUCUAUUUCUAAGCGUGGGCUUCUGGCACGGCGGCUCUGGGCACAGCCCAUGCUGCUUUCGGGCUGGGUGGUUUCAACGACGACAACAAUUAUCACAGUGACGGUGACCUUCACCCCAACAGGACUGCUGUGUGUGAAGCACUCAAGAGGGCCCCUACAACCAACCUGCCAGGAGUCGGCUCCUGAAAACAGGGUCGGAAAAGAUCUCAGUCCUCUAUCUGUGAAACGGAAUUCGGCCUUGCCUGUCCACGAAAUGAAGACAAGGCAUCUCGUGUGUGUUAAGAUGAAACAAGAUCUUAGCAAGAGAGUAAUGAUUUCUUUUUUAAAACAUUUUUUACUGUAGUAAAAUGUACUAUAACGUAAAAUUACCAUUUCAAUCAUUUGUAAGUUCAGUGGCAUUAAGUACAUUCACAUUGUCGGGCAGCUGUCAGAGGUGUUCGAACCAGAGCGACUCCAUCUUGAACAGGUGCUGCGCAAAAUGAGGCUGAGACCUGCUGGGCUGCAUUCCCAGGAGG
rnacentral:lncRNA from 1 species